rnacentral:rRNA from 1 species
AUUGAACGCUGGCGGCAUGCCUUACACAUGCAAGUCGAACGGUAACGGGCCUUCGGGUGCCGACGAGUGGCGAACGGGUGAGUAAUGCAUCGGAACGUACCUUUCAGUGGGGGAUAACGUAGCGAAAGUUACGCUAAUACCGCAUAUUCUGUGAGCAGGAAAGCAGGGGAUCGCAAGACCUUGCGCUGAUUGAGCGGCCGAUGUCAGAUUAGCUAGUUGGUGAGGUAAAGGCUCACCAAGGCGACGAUCUGUAGCGGGUCUGAGAGGAUGAUCCGCCACACUGGAACUGAGACACGGUCCAGACUCCUACGGGAGGCAGCAGUGGGGAAUUUUGGACAAUGGGGGCAACCCUGAUCCAGCCAUGCCGCGUGAGUGAAGAAGGCCUUCGGGUUGUAAAGCUCUUUCAGACGGAAAGAAACGCAUCGGUGAAUACCCGGUGUGGAUGACGGUACCGUAAGAAGAAGCACCGGCUAACUACGUGCCAGCAGCCGGCGGUAACGG